CGGAGAAGAACUUGGCCAUAUUUAUAUGGGCUCCUUUUCCUCACAAUAACUAGAAAUUUAAACGCGAGGGUCAUAAAAGACGCGGCUUUCCCGGGGGAAUUAAACACCAGGCAGCCUUUCCUGAGUGCUGACGCUCGCUGCCAGCCUUCUUCCGGUGGCCCGGGAUCGGCCAGCACGCCAGGCCUGUCGCCUCACCUGCGUCCCCAGCGGACCCGAGCCCACGCGCGCUCUUCCGUGGCCCCGCCACCGCGGGCACGGCCCCGCCCACAGUGCGCAUGCGCGCCGUGCGCCGCCUCACUUGCGUCCCCAGCGGACCAGAGCGCCACGCGCGCUCUUCCGUGGCCCCGCCACCGCGGGCACGGCCCGCCCACAGUGCGCAUGCGCGCCGUGCGCCGCCUCACUUGCGUCCCCAGUGGACCAGAGCGCCACGCGCGCGCUCUCCCCCGCCCCGCCCACCACGGGCACGGCCCCGCCCACAGUGCGCAUGCGCCGCCUCAACGCCUCAACUGCUGUUACUCCGGCCCGCGGCGCUCCAGGAACAGCGGAGCCAUGUUCCUUCUUCUGGUGCUUGCCACAGGAUUUGGCGGUCUGCACGCCCGUUUCAGUACUCAUAAGAACUUUCUACAGAUCACAGUUCCUGAGAAGAUCUCAUCAUCUAGCACAAAAGAAAAUCCAGAAGACAACGUAAUUACAGAAUAAUAUUUUUUAGUGUCUUAAGUUCUGUUAAAUUUCCUUAGUGGCAUGACUAACGCUGCAGAACACAGGCAGCAGAAAGAGUUGGCAGCUAACAACAGGGUCCAGAAAAUUAUUUUGAUAUUUAUCAGCAUGUAAGACCGUGUUUCUGUCCAAGAUGAAGGAGUUUAGGGGUAGGAUUGCCCAAAUGCAAAAUUUAUGGAGAUGGCAAAGACCAGGGUUCUCCCAGGACCAGGGUUAAGUUGAAGGAAGUAAGGUAGGUCAUCUAACUGCAAGUUCAUAUAACUGCAGUAGUAAGAGGCCCACCUGAAUGUAUGACCAUCAGAAUUUUCAAGUGCCAGGAAGAACUUUUUAAGUAACUUUGGAAAAUGUAAUUCAGAUGAAUACCAUAUUUUUUAAAAAAUUUUUAAUCAGUUUUUAACAGAUUCAAUGUGAUCUGUAGAUACAAUUCUAAGAAUAUCAUGAUGGCCCCUUCCCCCUCUUCCAUUCCCACUCCCAUCCUUUUGACUUCUACCUUUUUUAAAAACUUAUAGAUGAUAUCUCUUAAAAUUACAUUAUAGAAAAAAGGCUUAAUACUUCACCAAAUAAGUUUAACAAGUAAAAAGCACAAAGGAGCUAGUUUAGUGGGAAUAUACACAACAGCUAUAAAUAAUAAUUCAAUGGAAAGUGACCUUUUCACUCAUAUACGGUAAAUUGUAAAGCAGUUACAGAUUAUCAAAACUAGAGUUGUGUGAUAUUCUCAAACAUUGGUUUGACAAAGUUUUAUAAAGCUUUAUUUACAGUGAUAUUGAUACACACAGAUAUUUCUUUUCCUUUUUCCUUUCUUGUUUAUUUUUAAAUAUUAGAUCCCACAUAUAAAAGAAAACAUGUGGUAUUUAUAUUUCUGGGUUUGGCUUAUUUGACUCAAUGUCAUGUCUUCCAGUUGCAUCUAUUUUGCUGCAAAAGGUAGAAUUUCAUUUUUUUUUAUAGCUGAAUAAUAUCCCAUUGUGUCAGUGUGUGUGUGUGU
ensembl:lncRNA